GACGAACGCUGGCGGCGUGCCUAACACAUGCAAGUCGAGCGAAUGAAGUCUCUUCGGGAACGGAUUUAGCGGCGGACGGGUGAGUAACACGUGGGCAACCUGCCUCAUAGAGGGGAAUAGCCUUCCGAAAGGGAGAUUAAUACCGCAUAAGAUUGUAGUACCGCAUGGUACAGCAAUUAAAGGAGCAAUCCGCUAUGAGAUGGGCCCGCGGCGCAUUAGCUAGUUGGUGAGGUAACGGCUCACCAAGGCGACGAUGCGUAGCCGACCUGAGAGGAUGAUCGGCCACAUUGGGACUGAGACACGGCCCAGACUCCUACGGGAGGCAGCAGUGGGGAAUAUUGCACAAUGGGGGAAACCCUGAUGCAGCAACGCCGCGUGAGUGAUGACGGCCUUCGGGUUGUAAAGCUCUGUCUUCAGGGACGAUAAUGACGGUACCUGAGGAGGAAGCCACGGCUAACUACGUGCCAGCCGCCGCGGUAAAAC
rnacentral:rRNA from 1 species